GUCCAAGCCUAGAGGCUUUCUCUUUCUGCUGCCUGCAGAAUCUGCAUUUAGAACUCUCAGUUACUUCCCUAGCACCAUGUCUGCCUGAGGGCUGCCAUCAUCCCCAUCACCUCCGAAAGGAUGUGUCGCCUCCAUGUGGGUGACCCCGGAGUCCGGAAGAGACGUUUGGGUCCCUGAGAACUGGAGUUAUAGCUGGUUGUGUCUUGUUUUCUCAUAUGAUUAUUUCGAGGUCAUUGCUGGAAGUAAGGAGACCGUGGCUAUUCAGCGGGAGCACGGAUCAUGGACUUCCACGUGGUUUCUGAUGAUAGCCUGGGGCAUGAACAUCCACAUGGCCUUGUUGAACCCGUGUUGAGCACGUGCCACGGACCUCUGCAUGGUCUCCAGUGGCAGUCUAGACCACCAACACCAUCAUGACCCUCAGGCGGCAGCAAUGACCACAGACACUGUCAUGGCCCCCAGACGGCAGUGCGAGCUAUGGCCAUCAACCCGGGACACAGACCACUCACGUUAAUAUGGUCCCCGGUAGCUUUCCAGCCCACGAACAUCAAUAUGGCUGGCUUCAGGUGGCAACACAGACCUCGGACAUCCACAUGGCCCUCAGGGGUAACUCGGAUGUCAGACAUCAACAUGGCCUACUUUGGGAGCAUAGACCAUGGACAUCUCCAUCAGCGGCAUGGCCCAUGCACAUCAGCACAGCUUCAGGCAACAGCAUAGAGCAUGGUCAUCUUCACGGCCUUCAGUGCUAACACAGAUUAUCGAACCUCAGCAUAGCACGGACUAUGGACACUAGCAUGACCUCCUGCAGGAGCACACACUACAGAUGUCACCUGGCGUCUGGAGGCAGCCUGGGCCUCAAGCAUCCACUUGGCCUCCAGCGGAAGUCCAGGCCACAGACAUUCACAUGAACUUCGGGCUUCAACGUGGGUCCGGGGCAGGAGCACGAACCAAGAUGCCAACAUGGCCUCUGGGACAGUACGAACUGUAGAGGUCUUUCAAGGAGGUCCAGUCCAGAAAAAUCAGCCUUUCUUUAUCUCAGCUAUCAGAACCACAGGAGAUCCUGAAGCUGAGUCUGCGCAUGCUCCAGGCUGCUGCACACCGCCCUGCGGGCCCCGCCCAGCAACAGGUUCCUCCCUCCUCCGCUCUUGAGUCUCUAGCUCGGCCUCUCUCUGCACUUCUCUAUCCCUCCAUCUUUCCCACCCCACCGUCGCAUAGUCAUUCGUCCUUAGUGGCAUUUACCCGAACAGCUUUACAUGCAAAUAUUUACUGCAACAAGUAGUGAGUCUGGUCCAAGCUUUCUGGUUUCUGACGCUCCGUCAAUACUAGACUGCUGACACAUACCGGAUUAGCUUGUAGUUGCCCAGAGUCAAAGUGAUGGCGGGACUGGACAGGGCAACUAGGGGCAGGUCCCAUGAGAGCUCCAAGCUGCCAGGCACCUUCCUGCCCUGGCUGUCGGCCAUGCUGAGGCUCGCGGAGCUCGACCUCUGUGUUUGUAGGCUGGAGGAAACAUCACUCUCCAUCUCCCAGAGGGGCAAGCUGCUCAGGAUGCCAGCACAGCCGCUCUGUGGUGGGGGCCGGCUGGCUGGCCGGCAUGGCACCGUCCCUGGUCAGUAGUGACAUCUGGUUCUGCAGGGCCGGCUCCUCCGCAUGCUCGGCAGCUUGCACGUGGAGAGAUGUUGGGGCAGACCGACUCAAAGCACUGGAUCUUGGCCCGGAUGGCAUCGGGGUGGGUCAGCUAUGACCCACCCCGGCCGGCCUUCUGAGGAGUGUCUCUAAUUUACUGUGGCUUUUUUUUUUUCUUUUAAAAUAAAUGACUUCUCACAAUUCCAGACAAAAAACACUUAGAAUUAGUACUAAAUACCCCAAACAUAUAUUAAUAAAACAAUAUUCAAAAGCCAACUAUUUAAGUCAAUGCAUCUUCAUUUCAUCACAUUGAAUAACAGGUUACCUUUAAUAUCUGAAAAUAGGAAAUGUGUCUUUUUCACUAACUUAAAAGUAGAUCAGAUAUCUCUCACUGAUAGUCCAUACUGGCUUUCUGUCUUAUUAGCUGAUUAUCAUUCUACUGAUUUGUCUAUCACUGGAUAAAACACCAUGACCAACUUAUUUUUAAAAAGGUGUUUCAUUGGCUUACUAUUUUUUGAGGGUUAGAGUCUAUGACGGCAAAACAAAGGCAUGGCCAUGAAAGCUCACAUUUUGAUCUCAAAGGCAAAGAGGGGCACUGGGGGUGAUGACAGUCUUCUGAAAGUACAAAGCCCCCCUUCCUCAGUGACACACUUACCAAACAGUUUUCCCAACUAGGAGCCAUUCUCAUUCAAACCACCAUAUCCUCCCAUAUGUCAGGCAUGGGCCACAGCAAUCUGGAGGCCUUGAAGAGCAAGCAUGCUCAUGAUGUGGCCAGAGCAUCUUAAGUAUGGAUAACU